rnacentral:rRNA from 1 species
UGAGGAAUAUUGGUCAAUGGGCGGGAGCCUGAACCAGCCAAGCCGCGUGAGGGAUGAAGGCCCUAUGGGUCGUAAACCUCUUUUGUCAGGGAACAAAAGCGAGUAUGUAUACUAGUCUGAGUGUACCUGAAGAAAAAGCAUCGGCUAACUCCGUGCCAGCAGCCGCGGUAAUACGGAGGAUGCGAGCGUUAUCCGGAUUUAUUGGGUUUAAAGGGUGCGUAGGCGGCGAUGCAAGCCAGCGGUAAAGGCCCGGGGCUCAACCCCGGCGAGCCGUUGAAACUGCAGUGCUAGAGAAGGCGAGAGGUACGCGGAAUGCGCAGUGUAGCGGUGAAAUGCUUAGAUAUUGCGCAGAACUCCGAUUGCGAAGGCAGCGUACUGGCGCCUGACUGACGCUGAGGCACGAAAGCGUGGGGAUCGAACAGGAUUAGAUACCC